ACUGUUUUUAGGGCACUUACCCAGACGCCCCUCUGAGGUUUUUUUCCCCUAUUCCGAUGGAAUGUGUCCCCGGAAGCUGAUACUUCGCCAUUUUUUUUUUUUUUUUUGUCUCUUAACAGGCGGGCUGAGGAAGUUGCCUCUCCCUGGCGCCUGCAUUCAAUGAACGUUUGUAAUGUUAGCAGGUGUGGACCUUGAGGAGAUUUUCUCUCCCUGGCUGCCCAGUUAUCAUUUUUAGAGAGGCAAUGCGAUAAUUGCUGAACGAUGUCACCUGACAUUCCUAGCGGGUGGGAGAGAGCCCUCUCCUGCCCCGCUCAUUGCCUAACUACCUGUAACAGGUGUGUGGGUGAGUGCUCCCUGUGAUGGAACGGUGUCCUGUUCAGGACUGGGUGCCACCUGGCACCUUGAGCUGCCAGGACCGGCUCGGCCUACUCGCGAUCCCAAGCUAGAACAAAUGGAAAUGUUCAGUUGUCUAGCUCACAGGGAUAUCCACAAGCCAGACCCAGAAAGCCUUUGCUACCAUUGAUGAAGAUGCCAAGUCCACAGCCCAACAGCCAGAAGACCCUUGGUCUAGCCCUUGGAUUCAGACUGAAUUGAUAUCGCCAGGUUUCCUGUGUUUUCAGCUUGCAGGCAGCUGAUUGUGGGACUUCUCAGCCUCCUUAAUCAUAUUUUCUUAUCAUUGGCCUUCAACAUUUUUAUCAGGAUAUAUCUGUGUAAAAUUUGAGAGAUUGCUGCCUGCCAGAGUUCCAUGGAGUAUAAACUCACAGAAGAGUUUAUAUGGAAACCAUAGACGUGAGAGGGAGAUGGAACAGAAUGUUGGUUCUCUGAAGUAAUUUUCACCUCUCUUUAAAUAUAUUGCAGAUUUUACAAAUUGAAGGUUUGUGACAACUCCCUCAAGGAAGUCUGUUGUUGUUAUUUUUCCAACAGUGGGUACUCACUUCAUGUCUCUGUGUCACAUUUUGGCCUUUAAACCAAGAGAAGACAUACCUGAGCAAUUGAACCAGAAGGGAUGAGCCCCACCUGGAUCUGAUGCAGAUUAAAAUAUCUUGGACCUUGGGCCUGAGCUUGGAAUGGAAGGAGACCUUUGAGGAUCUUAGUGGGGAAUCCCCUUGUCAUAAAACCAAUGCAUAAGAUACAACUGCAUCCAAUGUAUUCCAGAGAAAGAUUCUCUGCAGAUGACUCAAGGAAAGCCACAGGAGCAACAGGGAAACUGAAAGAACAAAUAUCACAGUUGAUUCAGAAGGGCAGCCCCACAUUUUUAAGUGAUACCCAACCAUUGUGAACAAGCUCUGUCAACACCAUCUGCUCCACAAAGGAAAGUUGCUGAUUAUUGCAUCUCUAAGUGGAGUCGGUUCUCUCCCACGAUAGCAGAAGAUACCAGGAACCUGAGGCAGCUUGACUUUCCUAAGAAUAUUACACUGGUCUGCUCUGCCCACAACAUCAUGCAACUGGACUUGGUGAAUAGAGAGUGGUGAGGACCCGAGAAGCCUUGGUGUAGCAAGUGCAUACCAGGAGGAGGCCUGUCAAUUAAUGAGGUUCAUAAGAGGCCAAUGGUUUGGUGUAUGCCAGGGUGUCACCUCUAAGGUAAAGGGCAAGUAAUAGCAAUUCACAUCUGCCACUAAGAAAAUUACACAGCACUUUGUGAGUCUCUAUAUAUUUUGGAGGUAGGAUAUACCACAAACAGAAUGUGGUUCUGACCCAUUCAUUUGUUAAGGCUGGCAGGUUUGAGUGGGGUCCAGAGCAAGAGAAGGCUGUGCAUCAGUUUCCAGUUUAUUUCUUCUUAUUGUGAAAGGGAUACAAAAGUACAAAUAGCCAGCACACAAUUUUUGAUAAAAAGACAGAUACUGCAUUUAAAUGAAGAAUGUAAUAUGCAAAGAUUUGAGAGCAGGGAAGCCCUGGUGAGAAUGUCUGUAUAGCUUAGGAGAGAUAGGACACAAAAUAGUCUACUGUUUAAUAAAUUAAGGCACAGUAGUUAUCUAACCUACUCAGUUUUACAGUAUAGCCCAUGGAACAAUAAGCAUUUUAAAACAAGCAGUUUUACUUACAUUUAGAUACCCAAGAACAAUAUUUUUAAGAGAGAGUAUUAAUAUAGUCUAUGUUAUAGAAAAUAAAAUAUACACACUGAUUUGAGAUUAAAUGUCACGCAUUGAACAUAUAGAUGCACCCAUGGCCCAGAAUAGGAAGAAGUGUUUAUUCUAAGAAAAGAAUUAUGUUUAAACUAUUUAUAUAAAUGUAAGGGGAAAAUCCAAAACUCCCUUUUUUGAUAAGGCAUAUUGCAGAUUUUAACCAAGAAGAUUGGAAGCAUUUGAGGGAACCAAGAUUUAUUGCUAGAAGUUUCUUUCUUUCUCACCUAAACUCAGCUAUGCCUAACAAUUUAAAUGCAUAGACUCAUAGGGAAAGCAAGAAAGGGAAUCAGAAAGGAUGAUUAUUAAGUUUGCACUAAAAAGGAGAUCUUUUCAGUGGUGAAUUGUUGCUUGAAAAAUAAUUCAUUGAUUUCCUUGGAAUAAGAUUUUUAUAACUUUCUUUAUUCCAUAGAAGUCAAGGAAAGAUAUAGUUAUAAAAAAUCUUCUGCAGGAUUGCAUUAGUGCCUCUGAACGAUUCACAUGCAAAUUCUUUUAGUUGAACUCAAAAGGAAGCCAGAGACCUUUUCAAUCAAGAAUAUGCUCUUGGUUACAUACCGUCAACUCUGCCAAAGCACGAGAAAGAAUAUUAGGGGAAAAAAUGACCCAAGAAGGCCUCUUUUUUAUUUUCAAAUAAAAUUUUUGUCUUGUUAGGAACAUUAAAGGAAAUAUUAAGCUGAUAGGAAGUUUUUCAUUUAGUUUUUUUUCAUUUGUUAUCUAAAUCCCUUAUUUAGUUAUUGUAGAUUAAUCUGUAUAUUCACAGUGACUGUAUUUUUACUUCAAUUAACACAUUAUAUUCAAAAGGCAAGCUUCGUUGGAAUGUUCUCAUCAUUACUAGGCAGUUGGCUUAAAAUUCAUGCAACUGAUGCUAGGGACAUGGUGGUGCCACUUUAGGAAUUUUUAGGAGAUGAUGGGCCAGAUGGUCCUCAAAAUAUCAAUCUAUCCAUGCUCCCCUUAAAAUUAUAGAACGACUACUUUAUUUGCAUGAAUUUUAAAUAAGCAAGAUUUUUAUAACAUAGUUUAGUCAAUACAAUAUGUUUACUCUUAAGAAAUUAAAAGAUGAAAAUGCUAAAUACAUUGGUUUGUCCUUCACUUUAAGCCUCAUCUGUAUUUCUUCUCUGUUUAUGUUGAAUUUUCUUUUUUACAUUAAAAAUCUCUUAAGUGUCUCUAAUUCAUAUAUCAGGGAUUCAAGAUUCCAAACACAUUGCUUAGCUGCAACAGAAACCCAUGUCAUUGAUUGCAUUUAUCUCACUGCUGCUUGUAUAGUGAGUCAAUACCAUCCUAGCCACCUUCAAUGUCUCCCCAGCACCAGCAAGGAGAACCACCUUACCAUUUCCAGUGAAGCUAUUAUACUUUAUAUCUAGUCACCUCCUUUCCUUUUCCUGUGUUUAUACCAUGGUAGGUCAUCUGUCAGGUGAACAGUUGGGCUUCCUAAGGCUUCUCCUGGGAAGAAAUGAUUGAUAUGAUGAGUGAGUUGUAACGCGUCCCCUUUUUCCUUUUCUCUUUGGAAUCUGCCCACUCUCAGAAAGCACAGUUGGUGCCACCCUGCUACUCAGCAGUGAGGAGGGGGCAAGUCUUAGGGCUUCUAGCUUGGUUUAUGGCUGAAUGGGGUAGUCAUUGCCUGCUGUGCCACCAGAGCUGGAAGCCCGGUUUUGUCAUGCAGAUAAGCCACAUUCUUCUACAGCUUUAUUGGUAACAAAGGUAACAUAUUGAUGUCCAUUUGCCAAACACCCUUGUCCUUCAAAGAUGGUUCAAAAUGUGAGUGUGAAAAAGAUAUUUAUUAUCCUUCUAACAUAUUAAUAGCUAAGGUAUUACUACAUCUUUUCUCCAUGUUUUGCAAACAUGUGUAUUAUAUAUGUUUAAAUCUAUAUUUAUUUCUUUACAUAUCCAUAAACAGUAAAACAGGUGAGAUCACAUCAAUAUUCCAAUUCCUGUCCAACCUCACAAAAUUGAAUUUCCCUCUGUUCCAUGUUUGCAGCUCCCUCUACUGACAGUAAGAAACCUAACUUCUGUUACCCUUAAUGUGUUUAUGUGUUUAAUUCAUCCCACUCAGCAUACUUUCUUGAGCUAUCAGGAUGAAAUUUGUCCUACAAUCUAUUAUUUG